UACGUAGGGUGCAAGCGUUGUCCGGAAUUAUUGGGCGUAAAGAGCUCGUAGGCGGUUUGUCGCGUCUGCUGUGAAAACGCGAGGCUCAACCUCGCGCCUGCAGUGGGUACGGGCAGACUGGAGUGCGGUAGGGGAGAUUGGAAUUCCUGGUGUAGCGGUGGAAUGCGCAGAUAUCGGGAGGAACACCGGUGGCGAAGGCGGUUCUCUGGGCCUUACCUGACGCUGAGGAGCGAAAGCGUGGGGAGCGAACAGG
rnacentral:rRNA from 1 species